rnacentral:rRNA from 1 species
GACCCCUAAGGCGAGGCCGAAAGGCGUAGUCGAUGGGAAACAGGUUAAUAUUCCUGUACUUGGUGUUACUGCGAAGGGGGGACGGAGAAGGCUAUGUUGGCCGGGCGACGGUUGUCCCGGUUUAAGCGUGUAGGCUGGUUUUCCAGGCAAAUCCGGAAAAUCAACGCUGAGGCGUGAUGACGAGGCACUACGGUGCUGAAGCAACAAAUGCCCUGCUUCCAGGAAAAGCCUCUAAGCAUCAGGUAACAUCAAAUCGUACCCCAAACCGACACAGGUGGUCAGGUAGAGAAUACCAAGGCGCUUGAGAGAACUCGGGUGAAGGAACUAGG